UUUGCUAGUCUAUCUCUUGCCGGGCCUUCCUCAAGACCCUAAGCACAAUUUUUGGGCACCCGUCGCAGCAACGGCGGGUG
rnacentral:snRNA from 18 species